GGGGAUUUAGCUCAGCGGUAGAGCACUUGCCUAACAGGCACAAGGUCCUGGGUUCGGUCCCCAGCUCCG
rnacentral:tRNA from 1 species